GAAAGACAUAAUAUGAUAUGAUAUGAUUGUGUUAAUCUUACGGAAUUCAUUUGAAAUUCUACCUAUUUUGAUAAAAUUUAUGUUCAAUUUUAUAGAAUUAAAUUGAGGAAUUGAAAUCAAUACUUUUCUUUUCAAAUCAAACAUGUAAAACUUGUAAUUCAAUUAAAUUUCAUAAAAUUUUGUGAAAUUCAUUUGAAUUCAAACCAAACGGGAAUUCAUUGGAAUCAAAUUUUCUAGAAUCCAUUCAAGGGCAAUAUCCUCAAAUAUGUAACUGGCAGGAUAUUUCAUACCUUUCUUUUCAACGCACUCGU
rnacentral:misc_RNA from 1 species